UUCCGUAGGUGAACCUGCGGAWGGAKCAUUACCUAGAGUUGUAGGCUUUGCCUGCUAUCUCUUACCCAUGUCUUUUAAGUACCUUACGUUUCCUCGGCGGGUCCGCCCGCCGAUUGGACAAUUUAAACCAUUUGCAGUUGCAAUCAGCGUCUGAAAAAACUUAAUAGUUACAACUUUCAACAACGGAUCUCUUGGUUCUGGCAUCGAUGAAGAACGCAGCGAAAUGCGAUAAGUAGUGUGAAUUGCAGAAUUCAGUGAAUCAUCGAAUCUUUGAACGCACAUUGCGCCCCUUGGUAUUCCAUGGGGCAUGCCUGUUCGAGCGUCAUUUGUACCUUCAAGCUCUGCUUGGUGUUGGGUGUUUGUCUCGCCUCUGCGUGUAGACUCGCCUCAAAACAAUUGGCAGCCGGCGUAUUGAUUUCGGAGCGCAGUACAUCUCGCGCUUUGCACUCAUAACGACGACGUCCAAAAGUACAUUUUUACACUCUUGACCUCGGAUCAGGUAGGGWUMCCCGMUKAACUUAAGCAUAUCAAUAAGCGGAGGA
rnacentral:rRNA from 1 species